rnacentral:rRNA from 1 species
AGUGAACGCUGGCGGUAGGCCUAACACAUGCAAGUCGAACGGCAGCACAGUAAUAGCUUGCUCUUACGGGUGGCGAGUGGCGGACGGGUGAGGAAUACAUCGGAAUCUACUUUUUCGUGGGGGAUAACGUAGGGAAACUUACGCUAAUACCGCAUACGACCUACGGGUGAAAGCAGGGGAUCUUCGGACCUUGCGCGAUUGAAUGAGCCGAUGUCGGAUUAGCUUGUUGGCGGGGUAAAGGCCCACCAAGUCGACGAUCCGUAGCUGGUCUGAGAGGAUGAUCAGCCACACUGGAACUGAGACAGGGACCAGACUCCUAAGGGAGGAAGCAGAGGGGAAUAUUGGACAAUGGGCGCAAGCAUGAUCCAGCAAUACCGCGUGAGUGAAGAAGGACUGCGGGUUGUAAAGCCCUUUUGUUGGGAAAGAAAAGCAGCAGGUUAAGACCCCGCUGUUCUGACGGUACCCAAAGAAUAAGCACCGGCUAACUUCGUG